GUCCUCCUCUCUAUCUGUCUGCCUCUCCGUUUGUCCAUCGUCACGUUGAGGUGAAAAUAAAGCUCGGUAAUGGAGACUGCUGUGAACCGGGGUUCUUGCUUUUCUCCUCGUCGGAGAUACACAAACUCACUGGACAAAUAAGGCGUCAAAUGACAAGCACCGGUUUUCAACGCUUGUUCUUCUUCUUCUUCUUCUUCUUCUUCUUCUUCUUCUUCUUCUUCUUCUUGUCUAUCAACGCUUCUUCAAAAACAGAUGCCCUGCUCGGGAAGUUACGGGCAAAACACGGAUAAAUCUGCCAAGUCGUCUUCUUCAAUUUCCAAAAGGCGCUCUCACCAGAAGGAUUUCUUCUUCUCUGAGCCUGCUCUUCUCUGACCUCAACAAGAGACUCUUCACCCUGUCCUACAAGGAAACCUCCUCCUACUCAGAUCGAGGCUUCUGAGAAAUGAGCUAC